rnacentral:tRNA from 1 species
GGAGGGAUGGGAGAGUGGUUGAAUCCGGCGGUCUUGAAAACCGUUAAGCGCAAGCUUCGGGGGUUCGAAUCCCCCUCCCUCUUCCA